rnacentral:misc_RNA from 1 species
AAGUCGUAACAAGGUUUCCGUAGGUGAACCUGCGGAAGGAUCAUUAAAAAUCCCCAAUAUAUAUUAGCUUGUUGAAAUGUGUUUGAAGGGGGAGGAAGAGAGAGGGGAGGAGAGACAGAGACCCAGAGGAGAGAUGGAUAUAUAAGAGAAGAGGGGUGGGAUACCUCCCUCCUCUCCCUCUUACCAUUUUUCCUCUCUGUCCUCUUCUCCCCUUCUUCUCUUCCCCUUGAUACUCUCCACACCUGUUUGUAUUCAUGAAUCAGCUUUAUUAUACAACCUAUGAGAUACAACUUAUAACAAUGGAUCUCUAGGCUCUU